UGGGGAAUUUUGGACAAUGGGCGAAAGCCUGAUCCAGCAAUGCCGCGUGUGUGAAGAAGGCCUUCGGGUUGUAAAGCACUUUUGUCCGGAAAGAAAUCCUUGGCUCUAAUACAGUCGGGGGAUGACGGUACCGGAAGAAUAAGCACCGGCUAACUACGUGCCAGCAGCCGCGGUAAUACGUAGGGUGCAAGCGUUAAUCGGAAUUACUGGGCGUAAAGCGUGCGCAGGCGGUUUGCUAAGACCGAUGUGAAAUCCCCGGGCUCAACCUGGGAACUGCAUUGGUGACUGGCAGGCUAGAGUAUGGCAGAGGGGGGUAGAAUUCCACGUGUAGCAGUGAAAUGCGUAGAGAUGUGGAGGAAUACCGAUGGCGAAGGCGAGCCCCUGGGCAAUACUGACGCUCAUGCACGAAAGCGUGGGGGAGCAAACAGGAUUAGAUACCCUGGUAGUCCACGCCCUAAACGAUGUCAACUAGUUGCUGGGGAUUCAUUUCCUUAGUAACGUAGCUAACGCGUGAAGUUGACCGCCUGGGGGAGUACGGUCGCAAGAUUAAAACUCAAAUGAAUUGACGGGGUCAUAGCUGUUUCCU
rnacentral:rRNA from 1 species